GAUGAACGCUGGCGGCGUGCCUAAUACAUGCAAGUCGAGCGAAUGGAUUAAGAGCUUGCUCUUAUGAAGUUAGCGGCGGACGGGUGAGUAACACGUGGGUAACCUGCCCAUAAGACUGGGAUAACUCCGGGAAACCGGGGCUAAUACCGGAUAACAUUUUGAACCGCAUGGUUCGAAAUUGAAAGGCGGCUUCGGCUGUCACUUAUGGAUGGACCCGCGUCGCAUUAGCUAGUUGGUGAGGUAACGGCUCACCAAGGCAACGAUGCGUAGCCGACCUGAUGGGGUGAUCGGCCACGCUGGGACUGAGACACGGCCUAGACUCCUACGGGAGGCAGCAGUAGGGAAUCUUCCGCAAUGGACGAAAGUCUGACGGAGCAACGCCGCGUGGGUGAUGAAGGCUUUCGAGUCGUAAAACUCUGUUGUUAGGGAAGAACAAGUGCUAGUUGAAUAAGCUGGCACCUUGACGGUACCUAACCAGAAAGCCACGGCUAACUACGUGCCAGCCGCCGCGGUAA
rnacentral:rRNA from 1 species